rnacentral:rRNA from 1 species
AUGGGGCGCCGCUCUGGAGGAGGCGGCGGUUCCCGCAGUGCGCCACGUCCCGCAGCCCCGGCACCCAAGCCGGCGGCCAAGCCAGCGUCCGCUUCGGCGCCGGCCAAGAACUCGUCCGCGCCGGCGCCGGAUAAGAAACCGUCCGCGCUGGCCCCGGCCCAGAGCUCCUUCCUCGGAUCCGUUAACGACGGGUUCGGAUUUGCCGUCGGGAUGAGCAUGGCGCGCUCCUUAUUGGGCGGGCGCAGAGAGGAGCCGGCGCCCGCCUCUCCCGCCCACGCCGACGCCGACGCCGACGCGUGCGGCAUCCACAACCAGGACUUCACCAAUUGCAUCUACACGAACGCGAGCGACAUCAGCCGGUGCCAGAACUACUUCGACCUCCUCUACCAGUGCCGCCGCGGAGGAGGCGCAGGAGCAGGAGAGGCCUCCACCAUCGCCUAA